rnacentral:rRNA from 1 species
AUUGAACGCUGGCGGCACGCUUAACACAUGCAAGUCGGACGGCAGCACGAGAGGGGUAACCCUCUGGGUGGCGCGUGGCGGACGGGUGAGUAACGCGUAGGGAUCUGCCUAUUAGAGGGGGAUAAUCCGUGGAAACGCGGCGUAAUCCCGCAUACGCUCUGAGGAGGAAAGGUUGGGAGCUGUAAACGGCCCAAUCGCUAAUAGAUGAACCUGCGUUCGAUUAGCUAGUUGGUAGGGUAAAGGCCUACCAAGGCGAUGAUCUAUAGCUGGUCUGAGAGGAUGAUCAGCCACACUGGAACUGAGAUACGGACCAGACUCCUACGGGAGGCAGCAGUGGGGAAUAUUGGACAAUGGGGGAAACCCUGAUCCAGCGAUGCCGCGUGUGUGAAGAAGGCCUGAGGGUUGUAAAGCACUUUAGUUGGGGAGGAAAGGGGAUGCGUUAAUAGCGCGUUCAAGUGACGGUAGCCAAAGAAUAAGCACCGGCAAACUCUGUG